UACGUAGGUGGCAAGCGUUAUCCGGAAUUAUUGGGCGUAAAGCGCGCGCAGGCGGUUUCUUAAGUCUGAUGUGAAAGCCCCCGGCUCAACUGGGGAGGGUCACGCGAUACUGAUCGACUGGAAGGCAGGAGAGGGUAGUGGAAUUCCCGGUGUAGUGGUGAAAUGCGUAGAUAUCGGGAGGAACACCAGUGGCGAAGGCGACUACCUGGCCUGUUCUUGACGCUGAGGCGCGAAAGCUAGGGGAGCAAACGGG
rnacentral:rRNA from 1 species